AACGAACGCUGGCGGCAUGGAUUAGGCAUGCAAGUCGAACGCUCACAGCAAUGUGGGAGUGGCGGAAGGGUGAGGAACACGUGAGUAAUCUACCUCCAAGUUGGGAAUAACAGUUGGAAACGACUGCUAAUACCGAAUGUGGCUGUUGAACCGCAUGGUUUAACGGCUAAAGAUUUAUCGCUUGGAGAUGAGCUCGCGUCCCAUUAGCUAGUUGGUGAGGUAACGGCUCACCAAGGCAACGAUGGGUAGCUGGUCUGAGAGGAUGGUCAGCCACACUGGGACUGAGACACUGCCCAGACUCCUACGGGAGGCUGCAGUCGAGAAUCUUGGGCAAUGCGCGAAAGCGUGACCCAGCAAUGCCGCGUGCGGGAUGAAGGUCUUCGGAUUGUAAACCGCUGUCACUCGGGACGAAAAAAAUGACGGUACCGAGGGAGGAAGCCACGGCUAACUACGUGCCAGCAGCCGCGGUAAUACGUAGGUGCCGAGCGUUGUUCGGAUUUAUUGGGCGUAAAGGGUCCGCAGGAGGUUUGUUAAAAUUGGGGUGAAAUCCCGGAGCUCAACUCCGGAACUGCCUUGAUGACUGACGAACUAGAGUGCUGGAGAGGUAAGCGGAAUACCAGGUGUAGCGGUGGAAUGCGUAGAUAUCUGGUAGAACACCGAAAGCGAAGGCAGCUUACUGGACAGCAACUGACUCUCAGGGACGAAAGCGUGGGGAGCAAACA
rnacentral:rRNA from 1 species